GAUGAAGAACGUAGCAAAAUGCGAUAAGUAAUGUGAAUUGCAGAAUUCAGUGAAUCAUCGAAUCUUUGAACGCACAUUGCGCCCGCUGGUAUUCCGGCGGGCAUGCCUGUUCGAGCGUCAUUUCAACCCUCAAGCCCCCGGGUUUGGUGUUGGGGAUCGGCCCUGCCCUUCUGGGCGGUGCCGCCCCCGAAAUACAUUGGCGGUCUCGCUGCAGCCUCCAUUGCGUAGUAGCUAACACCUCGCAACUGGAACGCGGCGCGGCCAUGCCGUAAAACCCCAACUUCUGAAUGUUGACCUCGGAUCAGGUAGGGAUACCCGCUGAACUUAAGCAUAUCAAUAAGCGGAGGA
rnacentral:misc_RNA from 1 species